rnacentral:rRNA from 3 species
AAUCCAUAGGUUAAUGAGGCGAACCGGGGGAACUGAAACAUCUAAGUACCCCGAGGAAAAGAAAUCAACCGAGAUUCCCCCAGUAGCGGCGAGCGAACGGGGAGGAGCCCAGAGCCUGAAUCAGCAUGUGUGUUAGUGGAAGCGUCUGGAAAGGCGCGCGAUACAGGGUGACAGCCCCGUACACAAAAGCGCAUGUGCUGUGAGCUCGAUGAGUAGGGCGGGACACGUGGUAUCCUGUCUGAAUAUGGGGGGACCAUCCUCCAAGGCUAAAUACUCCUGACUGACCGAUAGUGAACCAGUACCGUGAGGGAAAGGCGAAAAGAACCCCGGCGAGGGGAGUGAAAAAGAACCUGAAACCGUGUACGUACAAGCAGUGGGAGCACAGGUUUACCUGUGUGACUGCGUACCUUUUGUAUAAUGGGUCAGCGACUUAUAUUCUGUAGCAAGGU